rnacentral:lncRNA from 1 species
CAAAUGUGAACUAGAAUCUACAAUUGCACUUACUUAUUGAUUGAAUUGCACAGCUUGUAACUUUUGAAAACUUUGUUGAAUCAAAUCCUGUUUCAAUUGGAUAGAAAUGAUUAGGAUGGCACACUACAGGCACACUUUUCUUUCUUCCUGGUGUCUAAAACCUGAUAAAAUGCUCUAUCUCUGUCAGCUGGCCUCUGCAAACUGCCCACCAGAAUUUCUUUCCCCAGCUUAUGUAAUGUCUUUCAAGAUCAAGAGCCAUCAUUACCAUGAAUUUCUGCUAAUGAUCAUGGGGGGUUUGGUUGGUGAUAGAGCUUGUACUAGAGAAACAGAUUGACAAUGAGGAGCUUGCAAAUUUUCAAGAAGUACUGUAAGGUUAGCGAAUUUGUUUUAAAUGGAUUAGUAGAUGUACUUGGUAUCAAGUCUUAUUUCCUGCUCAUUAGUUUUAGAACAAAGGUAACAAAAAGAAACCCUUUCUGUAAGAUUCCUAGCUCAAAUAUGACAUGGAAUUUGCUCUUCUAUCUUUAUUGUAAUGCAGGCAAACAUGCCUUCCUGAGAUUUUCAAUCUAAAAGGUCCUCAUCCAACUAAGUACUCUGAAAGUUCAUUUGGUUAUCAAUUUGCUAGAAAGGAAUGAUAAUGCAUUUACAUUCAUGAAAUAGAUUGUUAAAUCAAAGUUUGAUGGAACACAGAAAAUUAUAGAUAGGCAAUGAUGGACAAAGAUUUUAGGAGUCAAUUUCUAGUUUAUUGUUUCUGCAAGACAACAUACUCCAGUGAAAUCAUUACUAAAUUCUUUUAAAUCUAUCCAAUAUCAGGUGAUAGAAAUUGUACAAUAAGAUGAUUUUGUUGCAAAAUAUCUGAAUGUUUAGAACGUCUGCUUCCAAGAUGUUGUCUAGUAAUGUAACAGUAAGGUCAGUUGUCUACUUUGUUGAACUUUUCCUGGCCUUUUCAGCCUGAUUCAAAAAAACUCAACAAGCGUUGUUCCGGGAAGAAAACAAUAUCGCUAACCAUAUAUUAAAUUCAAUUAUGGAAUACAGAUGUUCAAGAGGAGAUUAUUUGAUGUGGACAGUUAAACAUGAUGUCAAAGCUGAAAACUUUUGUAUUUUCAUCUACGGUACAAAAUUCUUUGUUUUAAAUAAAAAAUAGCAGUUUACUUUUGCUCAUGCUUGUUAAACAUGAUUGCUGAAAGGAGCUAAUUCUCUUUAAACUCGAGAUUCUACCGGGAAGGAAAUGCUUGUUCUGAACUUCCAUCUCUUGGAAAUGUAUGUAUCAUCUUGCUCCAAAUUAUCUGAUUAUUGGUAUUCUUAUUAUGUCUCUUAAAUGAUGGGAUUCUACUUUCUUCAGCUAUGAUCUCUUGACCUAAAUCCAAUGUUCAAUCGAAUUACUCUCACUGCCCUUGGUUGUGGGAUUGGUGGUCUGAUAAUUUAUAAUACCAACUAUCUUCUUCCACUACUUAAUAUUGGGUUUUAAGCAGUUUAAGCAUUAACUAAAACCUUAAAAAAAUUGUCAUGUUUAAGACAUUUUCAAGCAGCAGAGACUUGGUAGACUAUCCUCUUCUGAAGUUUAAGUUCAAAUGCAAUGAUAUGAGUUAUUAGCUCUACUUGUUGCAUCUUGCAGUCUCAAAUAGUUCGCUUUUUUGGCAAUUCUGGGACUCUCUGCCUCUCCUGCUUGUGGGUGCCAGUCAUUAUUGUUAUAGAACUUUUCUUUUUCAGUGUUUUGAACAAAAGCUAAUAUAGUUUUUGUGAUGCUUCUGGUACUUGUGGACUGAACAGAAAGAUUUGAUAUCUGCUUACUGAUUUACGUUAGAAAAGAAGAAAAAAAACAAAUAUUGAUUUAGCUUUCUGAAUAAUUGACUAGACAAAAAUGUCAUGCAAUUUCGUGUUUGCCUCAUGAUUUGCUAAUGCAAAGUCCUGAGUCUGAGUUUUCUGUUUUGCAGUGGCUGUAGGUUUAUAGCUCUGUAGGGAACCCUGAUGGCUCCUAAUCACCGCCUUUACUUUUCAAAGUCCUUUCUUUCCUUUGAAGUAUAUCAAGUGAUAAUUGGAGCAGCAACAGAGUAGGUCUGCCAAGUAACUCUUUAUCAUGAAUAAGUGCAAUAUUUCAUAACCUUUACGACUAAUAAACCAUGCAUGGUUCCAUACCAAUCUAAACUAACGGAACUAAACAAUCAUUUUGGUUAAUUUAAAAUGUCAAAUUGGUAUUUCUCCCGUUGUAUCACAUCUCAUUCGCUGUUGCAAAGAUCAAACAUGGCAAAUGGUGGUCCAAUUCAAUACCAUCCAUGUUUCAGUACUACACUUAAAGCUUCAGUUGCAUAUUUUUUUCAGUGACCGAGAUUUUCUUGGGUUAACUGAAUCACGUUUUUCAGUUGCAUAGUUUUGUUUAUCAUGCAUAUCAGUUACUGUGAUUGCUAACAUCGGUGCACUCUCUUUAAACUUGUGAUUUCACCAGGAUGAAAUGAUUGAUCUCUCUGAAGUUUCACACGUUGAAAAUGCAUUGGACAUUUUAGAUUUGAUACCACAAGCAGCAAUUCUACAAACCUUUUCUAUAAGACUACCAGUUCAUGGGGCCAGAUUAAAUCCACAUUGGGUUUUGGUGCCAAAUUAGCUUGUCAGUUAGUUAAGACAGUUUGGCCAUGAGGAAUAGAGGCACAAGCAUACCAAUAGUGGAUUUAGCUGAGACAGUAAGAGUAGCUUUGAUCAAGAGCAGCUUCUAUCAUCGUUGAUGUCCAGAAAAACCAAAGACAUUAGGCUGGCAAUUCUGAUGGAUGACAUCAACAAUUUAAGUUGUUUGUUUAAAAAAUGCUCAUUUUGUUUAGAUAUAGCAAAUGACAAUAUAAGUAAAUCUAUUAGUACUUAUGCAGUAAGUCUUUGUGGUGAAGAGGAAUGAAACAAUCCUCAAGGUGUUUAACACCUUUGUAUAGCCUCUCGGAACCGCUGCUUUACAAGUGUAAAGUUCUGAUUUUAUCAAUACAACACCUAUCGUUUUUGAAAAAAAAAAAAAAAAAAAAAGCUUACUUGUCAGUUAGGCAUCAAUAGGCCUUGUUUGGAUUGUAUUCUUUUGUAGAAAAAUUUUUCAGAUUUUUCCAAGAAUAUAUCUUGACAUAUUUUCUAGGGAUAAUUGCAGAAACCUCCCCUGACUUUUAUAAUAAUAGCAUUGACCUCCCCUAUCAAUAUUGAAAUAGCACUGACCUCCCCUAUCAAAAGUUGGAGGCAAUUUAAUAUGCAAAAGUGGAUCAAUUUACUAAAGUAUCCCUGACAUGAUUUAAUUUUACCAAAUGAAUGUGAUGAGUACUUUCAUCAAACCCAACAAAACAUUUGUUAAUAAAAAUUACACUAAGUUAACUAUUUCUGCAUAGUUUAACUAAUUAACUAAUAAUCUAAUUAAUUAAUAACUAAUUAUCUAAUUAACUAUUAACUAAUUAAUAUUCUUACUUUCAAACAUUUAAUUUAUGGCCAUAUGCUCCUCCCUUUUUGUAAGAAUAUUACUGUAACACUUUUUGAAUUUUACUUACAAACAUUGAUGUUUUUAUCAUAAAUUAAAUGUUUGAAAGUAAAAUACCCAUAAAGAGCCGAUACUGUAAAUAGGUAAUGCGUACUACAUAUAGUUUAACAUGCAAAUAGUCUGUUAAUUUGUUAGUUAGUUAAUUAGUUGAUUAGUUAAGCAGUUAAUUAGUUAAUUAGUUUAACAUGCAAAUAGUUUGUUAGUUUCGGACAGACAAUAGCUUUAGUUAAUUAGUUAAACAGCUAAUUAGAAAAAUAGAAAUUAGUUAAUUAAUUAAUUAGAUAAUUAGUUAAUUAGUUAAUAAUUAAUCAGAUAAUUAGUUAAUAGUUAAUUAGUUUAACUAUUAACUAAUUAGAUAAUUAGUUAAGCAAUUGUCAAGCAAAUAAUAAUUGUCAAGCAAGAAGAGGGCAAAAUUGGAAGAAAUUUCUUAUCUCACAUCUACAAAAGCUGUCAGGGAGGUUUCUGCAACAAAUUGUUACUGUUCAGGGGAGGUGAAUGCAAUUUCUAAACCUACAGGAGAGGUCAGUGCAAAUGUCAGAAAUCUCAGGGGAGGUUUCUGCAAUUAUCCCUAUUUUCUAAUUAUAUUUUUAGCUCAUACGCAUCAUAUUAAAACAAGUGCUACAGUCUAUUUUCCUACAAAAAAAAAAUCCAAAAAAAUUACUAUUCUAUAGCAUAUAUUUUACUCUAAUGUUUGUGUUUGCACAGAUUGAGUCCCUCAUACCAAACUAGAGCAUAUAUUUUACUCUAAUUCUUGGAUAAUGGAAUGAUAAAGAUAUUUGACAGAUGUAUCAACAGAUGAGGGAGGACAAGCUAAUGAUUUGCAGUCAUUGUUUGCCAUAGCUCAAAAUUUAUUUUCCGAGCACAUUUUGUUAAAAUGACGCAUUACGUCCAAACUACAAUUGGACUUGAGAAGGGCAAAUUUAGUAUUUUAUGCAAAAAAUUAUUGUGGAAAUAAAAUUUAUGUUGUGGCAUUAACAGCAACCUUCGUUUAGAGCCAUUAUUAUUUUUUUUCACCAUAGCUAUCAAAAAUUGCAAAAGUUCAAAUAUGAAGGGUGCUGCAAAUGGAGGUAGUAAUGAAAGAAAGGAAAUAAAAGAUUGGUAUACGUUGAAGUUACAUUUACCUAAUUCAUCCUUUGAUUUUAGAUUUUGCACACUGGAGCUUAUGUUAGGUAAUUGUAAAUCAUGUGGAGACCAAUGCUUUGUUUGGGAGCUUAGAUUUGACAGGAAAUGAGAAGAAAGUGAGAGAAUAUAGCUCUUUUAUGAUGUUUGGGAGUUGUGGAGCGAUUGAAAAAAAAAAAUGGGAAGAUUUUGGAUGGAUCAUUCUAGCAUUUACAGUUAAUAAUACUUUUCCAACAAAACAGAGUUGAAGCAAGCUUUCUAAAAUUGUUUAAAAUACCAAAUUUAUCCUUAAAUGUCUAUUAAACAAAUUUUUAUUGGCAUAUGUAUCCAAUAUCAUUUUAUUUCUUUACUAAACUCCCAAACAAUAUCAAAACUAAAUCUCUUUUUUUCUUUUCUUUCAUGACUUGAGCUUUCUAUUCUUUUCUUUUCUGUCUAAAACUCCCAAACUAGCUGCAAAUGUUGAAAAUGUUUGUACCUCUUAAAUGUCAAGAUGGCUUGCAUGGAUACAGAUAACAAUCAGAAUGUCCAUUAACAGUGUGAAAAGAUGUCAAGUUAAUGACUAUCUAACCGAAAUCUAUUGGUACCUGCAUGUAUCUAGAUGCAAAUUAGGCCAUUGAAUAUGCUUUUGAUACUAAUCAAACUCCAAGUGCCAGCUUCCAUCUACCACGGUGUUUUAACUACAUUGAGAAGCUGAUCUUCUUCCGAGUGAUUCUCUCUACGUUACAAAUUGGGGCUUUAAGUCAGGCAGCAUAAACAGAGGAAUCUUCAAUGUGUUCUCCAAAUUUACUUUGCACACCCAACUCUGCAUCUUGUUUCUUAAUUUUAACGUGAUGUGAGAAUAUGCUGAAGUUUAUGGCCCUUCCCAUUGAUUGUAUUAUUGUUCUUGCAAUUCUUAACUACUCAUGUCAAAAUGGUCAAUUUAAAGAUCUUGAUUUGCUUCCCACCACCAUUAGCAUGCUAUUGCUAUACAGUUUACUUUUCAAAAUUACCCUCUACUUCUUUCCAUGUAGCUUCCUUAAUGGUUUUUGAAAUGCAAAAGAAAAAAAGAAAAGUUAUUUGUUGGGCAUUAGAGGUAUAAUAUGAGAAAUUUUAUCUUGGUUUCGAUCAACUACUUGACACGUUAACAGUUAGUUUUUAACUAAUGAAAAUAUUCUAAAUAAAAUCGUGGACCUCAUUAAUUUCGCAUCACUAUCAAAUAAAAUCGUGUAGCCCUUAUUUCUCUAAUUGGUAUACUAUCAAAUCAUUCAAAAACUAAUUACUAUACUUGUCAAAUAUUUAGUUUAGACUGUAAUAAGAUUUUCUACCUUAAUAUAUAAGUAAAUCAUGUGGAUAUUACAAAAGCUGUCUUCCUUUUCGCUCUAGAACUCAUUUUUCUCUUCCUUCCCUCCAAAACUCCUCCAAUUAAAUCUACAAGUCAGAUCUAAAUUUUUCUUUAGACUUGAAGUAGUUUUUAUCAGAUUUGACUAUUCAACUUCUUCUCUGAUCUUCAAUUGAAAGCUGUUGUAGUAUAUAUGGUUGAGGAUUUAUAAGCUACGGCCCAACCUGCCCAACCUUCUCAAAAUAUUUUAGCAAAGAAAAAUCUCGUGUGUUCUUUGUUCUGAUUCUUGGCCCUGCUUCUUUAUGCUUUGAGAAGCUGACCAAGAAGAUUCUAAGAGAACUAUGACUGAAUUUAAGGGCUAACUACAUUUUACACUCUUGAACUUGGGAUUGAGAUGCAACACUUUAUGCUUUUGAACUUAAGAUAAGCUCCCCAAGGAUGACUGUAUAAAAUGUUUAGCACAAAGAUUAGGUCCAAAAACUGAAAGAAAUCACAUUAAUGCCCUGAAAUGAUAGCUAUGUGGGUGGCAGUUACCUUUAGGCAGGAAUUUGGGGUGGCUAUUGGCACACUCGGUGCACAUGAUUGAAACGAAAAUACAAAAUUAAUAGGGGACUUGGGAAAUUAUUUGCAUGGCAAAAAACCUCGAAAGUGGCCAAAAAUAAACAACUACACCAGUCUUGCACGGCUCCAAUUUCUUUCGUAAAUUUGUAUUGGCAUUUAAUAAUUUGGCUUUUUCUUCAUGAGAUGAGCCCUUAUGCGCAGAAUAGGCCUUGGACAAUUAGUUAAGGUUGAGAUGAUAGGAGUUAGAUGUUUUAGGUUCAAAACUUUAGUUACUUAAAUCUCACCUCUUCCUACUACUGAUAUUCAUUUCCCAGUUUUCUGAAAUUUCUUUUAAUUUUUUGAAAAAAUGUAGUUUUUGUCCUUAGUGUUUUGCACUUGUACGGUUUUAGUUCUAAAGUUUUAGCAAAAAAAAAAAAAAAAAUGAUCCUCAAUAUUUGGCAAAAAUUUUGAUCAAAAAUAAUUUUGGUUCCAAAUAGUUUCUGAAUUUAAGCAAAAUUGCGACAAUUGACUAACGUUUUUUAAUUACUAAUGGAACCUAAUAAUGUUCAGUCAUGUGUACAUUAAAUUAAUUUUGUAAGAAACAAGCAAAUCAAUGGAUAACCUUAAACAGUAAGAGCAACUCAUGUGAUGACACGUGAGUUAUUAAUUAACCAAGAAAAUAGGAAAAAAGGAAAUUUAUUUAAUUAUGCACAAAAACCAAGUGUUGGGGCUUUUCUUUUCUUUUUUUCUUUUUUUUUUUCUGAGGGUCAGCAGGGAUAGAUAGAGAAAAUAAGUUCAAAAUUGAUGAAUUAAAUGCUCUAACUAGUUUGAGUUUUGUACUUUAACAAUUUUUUUACCAAUUAAUUAGUUAGCACAUGAGUUAUUAAUCCUUAAUAUUGUCGUUUAAAGUUAGCCACUAUUUUUUCUUUAUUUUUAUAUUUCAAUUCUGUCAGUAAUUGAAAAAUAUUCAGUUAUCUAAAUCUAAUUUAUAUUGGAUACAUUGGAGACUAGAGUUAUUCUUAUAAAAACUUUAGGGACUACAACUGUGCAUGUGCUAAACAUUGAGGACUAAAUUUGUUUUUGUCAAAACUUUAAGGACUGGAGCUCGCAACAGGUGCUAUAUAUAAUGGCAUUUCUUCCUUUUAUUUUUGUAAUGCUUAAAAUACCGUUCCUCAUACUGGUCAUCUAAUCUAAUCUUUCUAAUGCUUCUGUUUGAGUCCUACAUGAUUACAAUCUUCCUAAACAAAUGAUUGUGAGAGAUAUAAUUAUGUAUCGUAUGUUUUGUGUAGUUCCACAAAACAAUCUUUCUAAUCUGAUCUUAUUAAACUAGGAGAUGCUCACCAUGCCCAGGUUGAGAGUACAGUAAAUAUUUAUUUCUGAAGGAUUUGUUGUACAGAGCACUUAUUUAUCUUGGUUGAAAUUUUUUUUUUAAUCCUGCAGGUUACUUUAUAUUUAAAGAGAUAGUCAGACCAUUUAAACUAAAUUCGUACAUCAAUGAUGUUGUGUUCUGGGUCAUUUCAAUCAGGUGCUUAUUACUGGUAACUAGAAGUUGAGGUGGAACAUGGAGUUUUAACUACUUGAAAUUUCUCAUUGAUUAGGGUAAUUGUACUCCUUAAUUUUUUUUUUCCAAAUAAAAGUAAAAAUUUAUUAAGUCACUUGAAAAUAAGUAUAAGACGGAGGAGGGCAUAAAUGUUACCUCCCGAUUCCAAUGAAGUUCAAAAAUUUUUUUAUUUAUCUUCAAGCAUGAGUUUGUUUAUGUGAUAAUCAUUCUAUAAAUCACCAUCGCACUGUGGAUGAUUUUUUUUUAGAUAAAUUUUCUAAAGCAGUCAGGCAGAAUAAUUGUUUAGGCCUCUAUUGCCGAACUUCAUUUCCGAAUACAAGUUUGAAGCAAAUCCACAUUUCAAGUUAUUCUUUGCCAAACUUCAUCCACCACGGGUAUUAACACAAGCAAGGAAUACAAUGUGGGGUACUCAUUGAUGGCAACACCACCAAAUUAGACUCAGCAUCUUGAUUAUGCAAAGUUGAAAAGGCUCAAUGCUCAACGAUAUCAGAUUCUGAUUUACAAAAUAAUUAGAAGCCUAAUUGAUUUUUGUAUUGAGACACAAAUUAUGUCUCUAGCUAAGAAGCAAAAUCCAACAGAGUUAGUGUGGAAGCUAACAGGAUAAGGUGUGCGUUAAGACCAAAUUAUGUUCUAAUUAGUUCAUCUUUCAAGGAUUAACGAAUAAAGAUGAAGCCCCCAGCAAGAAAGUUAAAGUGAAAAUCCCAAGUCAGGAAUUUCCAUUUCAAAGCAUCCAAGUUUCCCAAGAAAUUUAAAGUGAAGAUGCCAAGGAAGGCACCAAAGUUAAGAAUAAGUCUGCACUUUUAAGCGACCAAAUACCAAUGCUCUCCUCUUUUUAACCACUUGUAACAUUACCAAUUUCUGGCUGCUAAAACCUCCCAUUUUAAAAAAACCAUCUUGAUCUCAGGACUGAAUCCAAGCUAUUCCAAAAAAAAAAAAAAAUGGCUGACGCUCUUAUCAGCUCCACAAUUCAGGUCACCUUGGAAAGGGCACUGUCUCUUGCCUCUGAUAGGAUUGGUUUGCUGGUUGGGUUCAAGAAGGAUGUGGCCGGCAUGACACGUUCUCUCCGCCUGAUCAAUGCUGUCUUGGCUAAUGCUGAAGCAAAGCAAAACCAGGACGGAGCAGUGCAAGAAUGGUUGAAGAGUCUCGAGGAGGUUGCUUAUGAGGUUGACAAUUUGUUGGAUGAGCUCCACUAUGAGUCUCUUCAUCACCAGGUGGAGUCCCGAAACCGACACAAGCUCAAGGUAUGCUGCUUCUUCUCCUUCUCUAAUAUUAAUCUUGCUUUUCGUUGGAGAAUGGCUUCUAAGGUCAGGGACAUCAAACUUAAGUUGAAUGAGAUAAAUCAAGAAGCCAACGGAUUGGGACUGGUCAGUAGGUUAGGGAUGACAGCUGCCCUCCCUGCUGCUGUUGGAGACACAAGAAGUCAGCAGACCGACUCUGUUGUUGCUCCAAUGAUUGGAAGAACCAAUGAUGAAUCAAAGAUAGUGAAGAUGUUGUUGAGCCCGUCUGAGAAGGUUGUUUCUGGUCUUCCCAUAACUGGUAUGGGAGGUCUAGGCAAAACAACUUUGGCUAAAUCGAUAUACAACAAUCAGCAAAUUGAUGAGCACUUUCAGAAAAAGAUUUGGGUUUGUGUAUCGAAAAAAGUUCCAGUAGUAGAACUUUUCAAACUCAUGUUAGUGCAAUUGAUGAAAGGAAAAGUUGAAGUGGAUGAUAGGAAUGUCAUUGUUGAACACAUUCAAAAUCAACUAGGGGAAAAGAGAUAUUUCCUAGUCCUUGAUGAUGUGUGGGAUGAUGAUCAAGCAUUGUGGGAUGACUUUUUCACCACCUUGAAGGGGCUCAAUCCAACUAAUGGAAGUUGGUGUCUGGUCACUACUCGUUUAGGUCCAGUGGCACAUAGUGUGUCUAGAGUUUUGAGGAUGAUGGAAAAUGAAGCCUAUCCAUUAGGAAAACUACCUGAUGAUCAUUGUUGGUCUAUCAUAAAAGAAAAGGUAGUUGGAGAGGGAGAAGAACCUGAUGAACUAAAAGCAAUUAAAGAGAGAGUAAUCGAAAGAUGUGACGGUCUACCAUUGGCUGCAAGUGUAAUCGGAGGUCUAUUGUCUUUAAAGAGAAAAGAGGAGUGGCGAUCAAUUUUGGAGAAUAGGCUUUUGAGUAUGAGUGGAGAUGGAGAUCGUGUGAUGCAAAUACUUAAGUUUAGUUUUGAUAAUUUGCCAUCUCAAUACAUUAAGAAAUGUUUUGCACAUUGGUCUAUAUUUCCUAAGGAUAGUGAGAAAGAAAGGAAUAUGCUUAUCGAACUUUGGAUGGCAGAAGGUUUCCUACAAGUAGAUGCCACCAGCCAAAUGAUGAUGGAGGAAAUUGGAAUGAAUUAUCUGAGAAUUUUAUUGCAGAGUUCAUUGUUGGAAGAAAUAAUUGAUAAGUCAGAAACAUCAAUAUCUUAUAAGAUGCAUGAUUUGGUGCACGACCUUGCAGAGUCAAUGUCAAAGUCUACCAAAGUCAUUAUUGAUCGGGAUACAUAUAUAGUAGACAAUGGUGAUCAGAUUCGUUACCUUGCAAUAGACUUGUCUAGUGGUCGAGAAGACAGAGAAAAACUUUUGGAGAGUCAAUCAAUGUCUCUUCAUACAUUGUUUGUAAAUGGUGACUUAUCUGAUGACAUGUUAAUGAAGUUGAAGAACUUGUAUGUUUUGUUUUUGUCUACUGAAACAACUCAAGAGCUACCAGUAUCAAUUGGCAAACUGAUACAUUUGCGGUAUGUUAACCUUUCGAAGUCUUCAAUUAGUAUUUUGCCAGACUCCCUUUGCAAGCUUUAUAAUCUGCAGACAUUGGCGCUAAGUGGCUCACAAGUUAAAGAUCUUCCGAAGGGGAUGUGCGAUUUGAUUAGCUUGAGACAUCUCCACUAUUAUAAUGAUGAUGAAGAAUUUCAAAUGCCGCUAGAGAUGGGACGGCUGACUUGCCUUCAAACGCUUGAGUUCUUUAACGUGGGGCGAGAGAAGGGUCGACGAAUUGGAGAGCUUGGAAGCUUGAAGAACCUCAAAGGCAAAUUGGAGAUACGCAAUCUUCAACUAGUAAAGGGUAAAGAAGGAGCUGAGGAAGCAAAACUAUCUGAAAAGGCAAAUCUAUUUAGGCUGGAACUUGAGUGGGCCCUUGAUCGAGAAGGCGACGACUACAAUGACGAAGAUGUGUUAGAUGGCCUUCGACCCCACCCAAAUUUGAAGGAAUUGGUAAUUUGAUAUUUUCUGGGUGAUCAAUUUCCUCGAUGGUUAAUGGAUUUGCCAACAACAACAACACUCCCUGAGUCAGCAAAACACUCCCCGAGUUAGCGUGUUUGGUAUUUUUUGGCUGCGACAGAUGCAGAGAACUCCUUCCCCUACAAAUCUUUGCGUCUCUUAAAGAGCUGCAGAUUUGGUGUUGUGACGGGUUGACGAAUCUGCCAGGUGACAUGCUACGCUCUUGUGCCUCUCUCCAGAAGCUUGAGGUGACUGGUUGUGACAAUCUUAUCUCCUUUCCGCUUGAUUUGCAACAAAUGCCUUCUCUCUCGGAGCUGAAAUUAUACGAGUGUCCCGAACUGAAAACAAGCAUGACGCCCAAAGGAUUUGGUUUCCUAACCAGCUUAAGGAAGCUUGUAAUUGGUCCUUUCUCAGAUGAUGGUGAUGAUCAUGAAAAUUCUUCAAUUUACAAUGAGUUUGAUUGGUCUGGAUUGAUAUCCUCCUCCUUCUUCUCUUCGUCAUCCGCACUCCGUGAAUUAGAAUUAUUUGGGUUGCCACACAUGGAGUCCCUGCCACCUCAGAUCCAAUACUUGACCACUCUCACGUCACUAACGCUAGUUGUCUUUGGAGGUAUAAAAGCUCUGCCAGAUUGGUUCGGAAACUUUGCGGCUCUUGAAGACGUGCACUUAUGGUUUUUCAAAGAGCUUGGACAUCUACCCUCUGAGGAUGCCAUGAGAAGUCUCACCAAACUAAAACGUUUGGAGGUUUAUGGUUCUCCUCUGUUAAAAGAAAGAUGCACUCCUGAGAGCAGCGGCCCCGACUCCCAGUGGUCCAAAGUUUCUCACAUUCAAGACCUACGCAUAACCGAUCAUUAUUAACCACUCAUCUUCAGAUCAAAUUCAAUCAUGUAAGAUUGCCUCUUACCAACUUUCUUAAUUUGCUUUACAAUCAAUCUCCCCUUCUCUUCACCUCCCCCUCUGAUUAACCUUCUCGUGAGAAAACCUAAAAAGUCUCCAUGUUUAUUUUCGCAAUUUUCUCUUCUCCCUUUUCAUCGUCCUAUUUAUUAUCUUUCAAAGCUGCGGCAUUAGCAUUUCUUAUUAGGUCCAAAAUAUUGGUGCUCUUCAUUUACUCCUUACAACAUAAUAGUAAUACUCUUGUAACUCUUGUAAUACUCUUGGGCCAAAAUGUUCUUUUUUCCUGUGAGCCGCCGCACAUCCGAGGGAAGAAGAAUUGCGCAGCAAAGGACUAGGGCGAUCUGGCUUUCUUCGUAGUUUUUCGUCUUUAGCUUAGCCUGAAUUUUAUUGACUUUUCCCUUGGACUUACUUUUUGGCUUUGGGGACUUACGAAUGUCAGGACCCCUAAGCCAUUCUUGGCUUUUGACUUUUCUUCAUCUUUGAACUUUUAGUAUUUACGUUCCUUUCUUCGUAUGUCAUUCGAAGUGAAAUGGAGGGCUACCUCUUGUAACUUUGCUAUCUUUUCUUGAUUGCAGCGAAUUGCAUUUCCCAAUUUUUGUGACAAUGGCCGCGACUCUUGUUUCAAAUUCCUGUGGACUUAGUUCAUCAAACAUGAACUAAUUUCACCACUCUAGUCAAGGAGCAACGGAGGCUCUGAUUCACCUAAAAAUUGUGAGAUCGAUUUAAUUUAAUCUUUUCCUUUUAUUUAUUGGUAUUCGCAUAUUCCUUGAUUGCUAUACUUAUGGUUAUUUAAUUAAUUGAUUGUCUUAGAUCUGGAUAAUUAAUUGAUUUAGUAACCUAUUGUCAAUUAGGGCAUUAAAUCCGUAAUUGUUUAAUUGUCCUGAAAUAGUGACAACUAGCCCGAUUAGGUUCGUGUCAAGGGGAUACGCGGGCUAAUCUGAGAUAACCCUGGUAGUGCGUUAUUUGGUUAGAAUAGGGCUCCUUUAAUACGUAAGGCAAUUGGGGAAUUAAAUCUUACGGGCGUACCUAGGAUUAUCUCCUAAUUAAAGUAGUGAUUAACGGGCGUACCUUAAUCACCGACCCAAUAAGGAGGGGUUGACUGCCAUCGCUUGUUUAGUAGUUAUAACCUAUUUAUUGAUAAAUAAUUGGAAUUGCCUUUGCUUCGAUGAUCAAUUAGGUGAACCAUUGCUGAAGUUAUUUCUUGGCUAGAUCUUUAAUUAAUAUUACCUUGAUUUUAGUGAAUUGCCAUUUGACUUUUAGUUGCCUACUUUAUUUUAUUUUUAAUUGUUUUCUUGUUUUAAUUGAUUUAGGCCUUUAAUUAUUAUUACUUUAAGCUCAAUGAAUUGUUGUUUAAUUUCUAGUUAGUUAUUUAUUUUUAUUUUCUUAUUUGAAUUUAUUUGAUUGUCGUCGUUCCUACAAAAUCACCCCCUGUGUUACCUUGGAUUUCUUAAGAGACAAAUAUACCCAGUCCCUAAGGAUACGACCCUACUUCCCCUAUCUACAAAUUCAUAAUUAUUUGUGAAAAAAAUAACCAUCCCAUUCGGGUAUAUCGGAUCAAGCAAACUCUUCAGGAACAGGGUGAAUCAAGUAACCCAUUGCACACCUAGAGUCCCUGCUCUAAUACUUGGAAUUGGGUUUUGGUCAUUUUAAUUGGCAAUUAGGUUUAUUUUAUUAUUGCACAGGUUUCGACAACCUGUCAGUUCUGUUUAUAUUACAUGCUCUGCUUCUGUGGAUUUUAAGUUGUUAUUGCUAAAGUCAUCUCACUCUAUUUAAAAUUGUGAUUCUAAGGGGACUGAACUUUUACCUCUUGUCUCUUGAUAAUGAACUUGCAUAGCUAUCUGAACUAUUUGACUAGUAAUUGGUCUAUCAGAGUCGUAUAUGAUGGAUUUCUGGCUCACUUUUCCUUGAUUUUGGCUUUUUAUCCAUGAAGACAAUGGUUAAUUGAGGAGUUUUCGCAGCUGUUGGUCAUCACUUUCAUGUUUUGGUUCAAAAAUUCUAGUAAUUUUAGAUAUGCUUCUCUUCUUUCACUACUCAAUUUUGACUUUUAACCCUUCAAUAUCUAAUCUAUUAUGUAUGAAACAAAAAACAAAUCUUGUCAUCACGAAGAUAUUUUUGAGGUAGCAAAGGAAGGUUUGUAGUGUUUGAGAGAUGAAGUUGCACAAAACUUGGUGGAGUAUCUUCCAACUGAACAACUCUAUGUGCAAUGUUCUGAAGCAUUAUGGUAGUUAGUCAAGUCUGCUUGUUGUGAAUUGCUUCUCUUAAUGAAUCCAUCUUGAUAGAGGCUUCAGUUACAAUGACAGAAAAACUAUAAUUAUCUAAAAAUUUCCAUUAGUUUUAUUCUAUGCUAUUCGCCGCCUUCAGUUUGAGUUUUUGUGCUUUGCAGUGAUUUUGGGCACAAACCUCAACAGGGAACCUCAUGGAUGGCUCUUACCUACUGUCUUUACUUUUUGAAAGUCCUACAAUUCGUUGCUGAACAAGAUCCUGCUUCGGCUGAAUGGCAACAUCUAGGAUGGCAUUCUCUUUUCCUCUGUGCCUCAGAUGGUCAAAGUCUGAGAUAUCUAUUGGGGUAUGGUUCUUUUAAACUAUCGAAAUGAUUCAGUGAUGUGUAGUCAUGAUAAUAAGGAGCUGAUUUACAUGUUUUAGAACUCAAAUUGUCAUCUCUAGCAUACUGCUCAGAGUUAGAGGUUAGAACUAACUGGUGUUUUGGUAGCAAUUAAAUGUGGAUAUCUAUUGUGCUUCAGUGGCCCACAGCUCUAUUGUUUCUCAAUGCCUCAAUGUGAAAUGCUUUGCCCGCACUACAAAUUGUCCAUUAUUAUUUUCAUUUUAUGAGCUGUAAUGACUUGCUUUAUGGUUGGAACCAAACUACUGUAAUUGUAAACACGACUUAGUACUUGCUUAUCUAUUUAGUUUCAUAACAAACAAGACAUAUUUUAGCCUUUUGUAGGAAUGACAAAACAAAAUUAUUGUUGAAUUUUCUGAACUUUCUGAUUAGCUUUCUUGUUCACAUAUUGUCUCAACUCGAGUUUUCUGUUCUGCAAUGAUUUCAGGCUCAAAUGUGAACUAGAAUCUACAAUUUUACUUGCUUACUGAUUGAAUUACACAGCUUGUAACUUUUGAAAACUUUGUUGAAUCAAAUCCUGUUUCAGUUGGACAGAAAUGAUUAGGAUGGCACACUACAGGCACACUUUUCUUUCUUCCUAGUGUGUAAAACCUGAUAAAAUGCUCUAUCUGUGUCAGCUGGCCUCUACAAACUGCCCACC